GAAACUUAAAGGAAGUUGACGGGGCCCGCACAAGCGGUGGAGUAUGUGGUUAAUUCGAUGCAACGCGAAAACCUUACCUGCCCUUGACAUCCUCGGAACUUGUCAGAGAUGACUUGGUGCCUUCGGGAACCGAGAGACAGGUGCUGCAUGGCUGUCGUCAGCUCGUGUCGUGGGAUGUUGGGUUAAGUCCCGCAACGAGCGCAACCCUUGUCAUUAGUUGCUACAUUCAGUUGGGCACUCUAAUGAGACUGCCGGUGACAAACCGGAGGAAGGUGGGGAUGACGUCAAGUCCUCAUGGCCCUUAUAGGUGGGGCUACACACGUCAUACAAUGGCCGGUACAAAGGGCAGCCAACCCGCGAGGGGGAGCCAAUCCCAUAAAGCCGGUCGUAGUCCGGAUCGCAGUCUGCAACUCGACUACGUGAAGUCGGAAUCGCUAGUAAUCGCAGAUCAGCAUGCUGCGGUGAAUACGUUCCCGGGUCUU
rnacentral:rRNA from 1 species